rnacentral:ncRNA from 1 species
AUGAGUGGCUGAAUUAGAGAUCGGCACUCGUCAUUUUAAUUACAAUUUGGAGUUAUACUAUGUCUCUAAGUACUGCUGCAAAAGCGCAGAUUAUUGCUGAAUUUGGUCGCGGCGCU